AGUCCAUGCCGCGAAGCUUCUGACGAAAACGAUCUGUAAAGCAAAAACAAUUAAGAAAAAACAUCGUAAGAAACAAAAAACCUUUGGCGGAGGCCAGAAAACUAACCUCCGACCAAGGAAUGAACCUCGCGUAAGGCAUCAGUCCAACCUGUGAUCGAAGGUUCAGAAGCACCUGCGCAUAACAAAAACAAACCUUAGAAUAAAACGCCAAAAACAAAUCAAACUGUUGAACCAAAAAGAAGAAACUCACCAGGACCAAGAACAUCAGCAGGCGAAGGCCUGUUGGCCAACGCAGAAGGCGCAGGCUCACGCGGCGGAGGAACGGCAAGCCCUUCCUGCGCAACGCUGGCGCCUUUAGCCAUCUCCUCCGCGGUAGCCAGCCCAGCAAAAACAUCCGCUGAAAGAUAAACCAAAAACAUGAGACCAAGUCAAUCAAAACUUGCAGAAAAACAAAUAAUCAACAAAAAAUCAUUACCCAUGUACAACGAAUUAAUACCGUCACCAGCCGGACGAAGGGGAGCCUCCGCCCUCCUGAUCCUCCGAACAGAGGCGGACUCAGCUUCGUCGCUGGACUCCACCUGAACCUCCUUAGGCGGAGACCCUCCGCCAACUGAAGCCACGCGCGGACCCUCAGACGCUGCAGGAUUUGCCUCCCGCGCAGGGCUCGCCUCAGGGGCCUCCGCGUCGGAAGACUCCUCCCCAAGAAGAGACGCGAAA
rnacentral:lncRNA from 1 species